rnacentral:lncRNA from 8 species
AUAGAAACUAGGCCUUGGAGAACUGAGAUUUGGGUCUGAGAUGAGAGACUAACUUGAUAAGAAACUUCACAUACUCAUAUGGAUAAUGGCACUGCUUCAGUCACACGGGUUAUCAAUACUCCUGUUGAUAAUCAGAACACAGCGCGCUGGAGCUGAGUCUUGUUCUCAUGUAGAGGCGCCACAAUUCAUCACAGCUACUCAGGAAGAGGUAGCUGUUCUCCCCUGUUUCACAUCAACUCACAGAGAUUUAGAAACCAGAGUGAAAUGGACAAAACUUUCACCUAAACCUGAGGACAUCUUGGUGUGGCCUGAUGAUCCAUCUGUGGCCCAUAAGUCAGAACGUGUGGCCUUCGAGUCGGGAGCGGAUGGUGUGGUGGCUGGAAACCUGUCCCUGUCUCUAAGAGAUAUAAGGAAAUCUGAUGAAGGGCUUUAUAGCUGCAAGGUCUGGCAGGGAUGGAGUUGUGUCAUGGUGAAAAACAUCACUCUAAAAGUGAAAGAAUGCAAAAUCCUACAUUCAGUUAUGGCAGCACCCAAUGGAAUAGCUACCCUGCCUUGCCUGUUGAACAUGACAACAGGAAAGCCCCAAAUAUCUUCGGUGUCCUGGGCAGAGAUCAAGGGAGACAGUGAGAUCCAAAUACUUCAAUACCCUACAGAUAUCUCCAACCAAACAUUCCUAGGAAAAAGGGUGAGCUUUAGAGGAAAUCUCAGUUCAGGAGAUGCAUCUUUGGCUCUCUCCAUGGUGGAGUACAGUCACAGCCAAUGGUACAGAUGUAGGUUGCAGAUGGGACAAAAUGAACGCUGCUUUGAGGUCAAGCUACAGGUUAAAGAACAGGAAGAGGAGAACCUGGUUCUAAGGACUUCCACCACAACUGAACUAGCAAACCCUGCAGUUACUGCCAGUCAGAGUCCAGAAAGAGAUGCGACCGCUACGGCUGGAACGGCUACUAUAGUGGCUUCAUCCAUGUGUGUGAUUGUCAUAAUGGCUCUUACGCUGGGCUUGAUCAUCUUCCUCAGACGCCGCAGACACUCAGGUAUGUACAGACACUACUCUGGUUUAUAA